rnacentral:rRNA from 1 species
GAGUUUGAUCAUGGCUCAGAGCGAACGCUGGCGGCAGGCCUAACACAUGCAAGUCGAGCGGCCGUAGCAAUACGGCAGCGGCAGACGGGAGAGUAACACGUGGGAACGCGCCCUUCGGUCUGGAAUAACCCAGGGAAACUUGGGCUAAUACCGGAUACGCCCUUACGGGAAAGAUUUAUUGCCGAAGGAACGGCCCGCGUCCGAUUAGCUAGUUGGUGAGGUAACGGCUCACCAAGGCGACGAUCGGUAGCUGGUCUGAGAGGAUGACCAGCCUCACUGGGACUGAGACACGGCCCAGACUCCUACGGGAGGCAGCAGUGGGGAAUAUUGGACAAUGGGGGCAACCCUGAUCCAGCCAUUCCGCGUGAGUGAAGAAGGCCUUCGGUUGU